UACGAAGGGGGCUAGCGUUGCUCGGAAUCACUGGGCGUAAAGCGCACGUAGGCGGAUUGCUAAGUCAGGGGUGAAAUCCUGGAGCUCAACUCCAGAACUGCCUUUGAUACUGGCGAUCUUGAGUCCGGGAGAGGUGAGUGGAACUGCGAGUGUAGAGGUGAAAUUCGUAGAUAUUCGCAAGAACACCAGUGGCGAAGGCGGCUCACUGGCCUAAGACUGACGCUGAGGCGCGACGGCGUGGGGAGCGAACAGG
rnacentral:rRNA from 1 species